rnacentral:rRNA from 1 species
UGUAAGCGUAUACCAAAGUUGUUGCAGUUAAAACGCUCGUAGUCGGACUUUGGCAGUUCCGGAUGUGUGCACGUCGUGUGCGCACUUCGCGGGGAUUGCUUUUGUGGUCUUGCGUAGGAUGAGGCACUUUUAUUAGUGAACGUCCUCACGCAACCACUUUUUACUGUGAGAAAAUCAGAGUGCUCAAAGCAGGCAUUUGCCGUGAAUGUAUUAGCAUGGAAUAAUAGAAUAGGACUUGGUUCUAUUUUGUUGGUUUGUUGGGACUGAGUAAUGAUUAAGAGGGACAGUUGGGGGCAUUUGUAUUUCGGUGCUAGAGGUGAAAUUCUUAGAUUACCGAAAGACAAACUGCUGCGAAAGCGUCUGCCAAGGAUGUCUUCAUUGA